rnacentral:rRNA from 1 species
CCCAAAUUUAGCCUUAUACUAUUUUAUAAGUUUAACAGUCUUAAAUUUAUUUAAUAAAACAUUUUAACUCCUUAAGUAAAGGCGAUUGAAAAAGCUCUAAGCGCUAUAGAAACAGUACCGCAAGGGAAAAAUGAAAUAAUAAUGAAAUAAUUAAAGCUACUUACAGCAGAGCAUUUACCUCGUACCUUUUGCAUCAUGGCCUAGCAAGACUUAACAAGCAAAACGAAAUUUAAGUUUUAAAUCCCGAACCUAGGCGAGCUACUUUAAAACAGCCUUUUGGGCCAACCCGUCUCUGUAGCAACAUAGUGGGAAGAUUUUUAAGUAGAAGUGAAAAGCCUAUCGAGCCUAGAAAUAGCUGGUUAUUCAUGAAAAGAAUAUAAGUUCUGCCUUAAGUUUCCCUCAUGAUCCCUAACAACAUUUUAAACUUAAGAGUUAUUUAAAUAAGGAACAGCUUAUUUAAGACAGGAUACAACCUAAACAAUAGGGUAAAAUCUCAAUUAUUCCCAAGUGGGCCUGAAAGCAGCCACCUUUUAAAAAGCGUCAAAGCUUAACCUUAACCCCUAAAAUACCAUUAACCUUUAUGAACCCCUAAUUUAUAAUGAAUGACUCCAUAUAAUUAUGGAAGACACCAUGCUAGGAUUAGUAACAAGAAUUUAUAAUUCUCCAAAAUGCAAACAUAAACCAAUAUGGAUAACCCAUUGGUAAUUACCGAACCUGAACUUACUGCAAUAACAUCUACAAGAAAACCCUGCAGUGUUUACUCGUUAACCUAACACCAGCGCAUUUCAGGAAAGAUUAAUAAAAAGAGAAGGAAUUCGGCAAAUGACGACCCCGCCUGUUUACCAAAAACAUCGCCUCUUGACUUGUAAAUAAGAGGUCCAGCCUGCCCAGUGAAUUUUUAACGGCCGCGGUAUCCUAACCGCGCGAAGGUAGCAUAAUCACUUGUUCUUUAAAUGGGGACUCGUAUCAACGGCAUCACGAGGGUUUUACUGUCUCCUCUUUUUGAUCAGUGAAAUUGAUCUUCCCGUGAAGAAGCGGGAAUACUUAUAUAAGACGAGAAGACCCCAUGGAGCUUUAAACCAACUAGCAACUUAACCAUAUAUUGCCUAAUAAUUUUAAGCCCGUGCUACAAGGUUUUUGGUUGGGGUGACCGCGGAGUAAAGCACAUCCUCCACGACGGAAAGACUAUAAUCUUUAUUUAAGAACUACAAUUCCAGAAAUUAGUAUACUAACGUUUACUGACCCGACAAUCGAUCAACGGAACAAGUUACCCUGGGGAUAACAGCGCAAUCUACUUCAAGAGCCCAUAUCGACAAGUAGGCUUACGACCUCGAUGUUGGAUCAGGGUAUCCCAGUGGUGCAGCCGCUACUGAAGGUUCGUUUGUUCAACGAUUAAAACCCUACGUGAUCUGAGUUCAGACCGGAGUAAUCCAGGUCGGUUUCUAUCUAUAAAGAGUUAUUUCUAGUACGAAAGGACCGAAGUAACAUGGCCACUGCAUCUCCAAGCCAUUUAUCCUACUAAUGCCGGCAACUUAAUUAGCUAGUGCCUAUUUAAUUAUUAUAGCCUAUGAUUU